AGAGUUUGAUCCUGGCUCAGAUUGAACGCUGGCGGCGUGCCUAACACAUGCAAGUCGAGCGGUAGCAGGUGUAGCAAUACAUGCUGACGAGCGGCGAACGGGUGAGUAAUGCUUCGGAAUCUACCCACGGGUGGGGAAUAACCAACCGAAAGGUUGGCUAAUACCGCAUAAGUCCUACGGGGGAAAGCGGGGGAUCGAAAGACCUCGCGCCGGUGGAUGAGCCGAAGCCGGAUUAGCUAGUUGGUAGGGUAAUGGCCUACCAAGGCGACGAUCCGUAGCUGGUCUGAGAGGACGACCAGCCACACUGGGACUGAGACACGGCCCAGACUCCUACGGGAGGCGAC
rnacentral:rRNA from 1 species